GUGAGGAAUAUUGGUCAAUGGGCGCAAGCCUGAACCAGCCAUGCCGCGUGCAGGAUGACGGUCCUAUGGAUUGUAAACUGCUUUUGUACGGGAAGAAACCCUCCUACGUGUAGGAGCUUGACGGUACCGUAAGAAUAAGGAUCGGCUAACUCCGUGCCAGCAGCCGCGGUAAUACGGAGGAUCCAAGCGUUAUCCGGAAUCAUUGGGUUUAAAGGGUCUGUAGGCGGUCUUGUAAGUCAGUGGUGAAAGCCCAUCGCUCAACGGUGGAACGGCCAUUGAUACUGCUGGACUUGAAUUAUUGGGAAGCAACUAGAAUAUGUAGUGUAGCGGUGAAAUGCUUAGAGAUUACAUGGAAUACCAAUUGCGAAGGCAGGUUGCUACCAAUGGAUUGACGCUGAUGGACGAAAGCGUGGGUAGCGAACAGGAUUAGAAACCCCAGUAGUCC
rnacentral:rRNA from 1 species